rnacentral:rRNA from 1 species
ACGCGAGGAACCUUACCAGGUCUUGACAUCCCAUUGACCGCUAUGGAGACAUAGCUUUCCCUUCGGGGACAGUGGUGACAGGUGGUGCAUGGUUGUCGUCAGCUCGUGUCGUGAGAUGUUGGGUUAAGUCCCGCAACGAGCGCAACCCUUGUUCUUAGUUGCCAUCAUUUAGUUGGGCACUCUAAGGAGACUGCCGGUGACAAACCGGAGGAAGGUGGGGAUGACGUCAAAUCAUCAUGCCCCUUAUGACCUGGGCUACACACGUGCUACAAUGGAUGGUACAAAGGGCAGCAAAGCGGUGACGCCUAGCAAAUCCCAUAAAACCAUUCUCAGUUCGGAUUGUAGGCUGCAACUCGCCUACAUGAAGCCGGAAUCGCUAGUAAUCGCGGAUCAGCAUGCCGCGGUGAAUACGUUCCCGGGCCUUGCACUCACCGCCCGU